rnacentral:lncRNA from 1 species
AACAUGACCACGAAUCUGGUCCACAGGUUUAUAUAAAAACAAUAAUCCAAUUCUCUAAUUCAAUUCAAGAAGCCAAUGUAAAUUAACAGAACAUCAUCAUAAAUAUCAUCAACAACAGAAUAAUUCCAAUUCAAACUUUGAUAAUAAUCUAUUCAUAAAUCAUGAUCCAUCAUUUCAUAAAUCACAGUUCAGGAAAUCCUCAACUAUUCAGUAUCCUCCAUUAUCGGCUAAGCAACUGAAUUUAGCCUGCUAAACCAGCAUGACAAUGGUGGGUUGAAUAAUCAAGAAGAUCCCAAUUCAUUCAAAGCUCUAACUAUCACUGAGCAACACAUGCUUCAAUGACAAUCUGAACUUCGAAUUAAUUUGUAGAACGGACAUUCUUUAGAAACUUGAAGAUUAGAAAGAAUGGGUCAGAAUACUCGCACUUUCGAACAUUGAAAAGAAAGGUAUGAAUACUUGAAACAUAUACCAAAGGAAUGGAUCAGAAUAUUUGCAAUAUAUCCAAGAGAAAGGUUUAGGAUACUUGCCUUAAAUCUGACUCCAGUCUCACAGCUCAUUCUCAUCUUUCCACUUUCACAAUCUAUGCAUCUCAUAAUCUCUAGACCAUCUCUGGCAAUAUAUCCAAANCAUACCUCACAAAACAAUAUACUUUUCCAAAUAUCUGACAUGGUCAACAUACUAUGAACCAUGCAUUUAUAUCAUCCUCAAAUCAAUACAAUAAUCCAAUUUCAAAUAUGCAGUAUAGUCAGAAUACUCUGAACUCUGCAUUUUCACCAUUCUCAACUCAAUCAUUCACUAUCAAACUCUUCUAUAUAGGUCUAAUACUGACCUUUCUCACAAUUCAUUAUCUCAAUUAUUCAACAUACUAAAAAUCAUAUGUCUAACUUAGGAAUCAAAAUCUCUCUAAACUUAUGCACUCAACUUAAUCAUCUAACUAGAUUCUAUUUCUCUAUCACAUCUCUAGACUAUUUCUAAAUAGUCUCACAAUACCUCUAUACGAGGUCACACAACAUUCUUCUCUAGAAAACCUAUAACUAUGAUCUAUAUUCUAAUUUCAAAUACUUAUAACCUGUGGCUCUGAUACCAACUGUGACGGUCCGAGAAUCCGGGGGCCUGGAUUCUGACGUCACCACAUAAAAACCUUUUUAAAACACUUUCGAAAACCUGUAAAUUUUUUUUUUUUUUCAAAAGAUAAUAAAAUCAAAGAAUUUAAAACCUGAAAACAUUUAAUAAAAGAUUUGAAUGAGAACAUAAAUCGAAUGAUUUCAAAACCUGAAUUUCAAACUUGAAAGCCAUAAUAGGAGAAUUUCAAGAGAACAUUUAAACUUUAAUAAAUGAUUCGAAAGAGAACAUUUAAACCCCCUAAAAGCAACAGGAUCGCAUCCAGGUUACAGUAUUGAAAUUAGAAUCUACCACUAUUAUUACACAACAUCUCUUACCAAAUCAGAUCAUCUUCGAUAAGAAGAAUCACUGUCAACUAUUCCAGCUUGCACCAACCUCAUCAACUUUCCUGAACACUCCUCGACCACUGGAUCCUCAACUCUGUCUCCUCGCCUAGCAUUAGCCUUAUUCACAAUCUCAAUCAAUCAUCUCAUCUUUAAGCCUUUCUGAAAUGGUUAGAAAGGAAUAGCAAGGGUGAGCAACAAUGCUCAGCAAGUAAUAAUAAACAAUGAUAGUUCUGAAAUGAUAUAACAGAAGUUCACGAGUUCAAGAUAUAAGAGGAUUCAACCUGAGUUCAUGAGUUCAUGGUAUUGUAUAGAAUGAUUUACAAUACCUUGCAGCAUUUAAACUGAGAAAUUCAAUCUUUCCAAAGAAUUAUUGAAUUGGACUAUCACAUUUUAAUUAAAACCAAGGUUAGGCAGCUGAUCAGUUCCGCACUAACCCCGAGCAGGCCCCGCCAUGCUCUAUCACUGGAUCCAAGGCACUCAUUGGCCUAACAUGACCACGAAUCUGGUCCACAGGUUUAUAUAAAAACAAUAAUCCAAUUCUCUAAUUCAAUUCAAGAAGCCAAUGUAAAUUAACAGAACAUCAUCAUAAAUAUCAUCAACAACAGAAUAAUUCCAAUUCAAACUUUGAUAAUAAUCUAUUCAUAAAUCAUGAUCCAUCAUUUCAUAAAUCACAGUUCAGGAAAUCCUCAACUAUUCAGUAUCCUCCAUUAUCGGCUAAGCAACUGAAUUUAGCCUGCUAAACCAGCAUGACAAUGGUGGGUUGAAUAAUCAAGAAGAUCCCAAUUCAUUCAAAGCUCUAACUAUCACUGAGCAACACAUGCUUCAAUGACAAUCUGAACUUCGAAUUAAUUUGUAAAACGGAAAUUCUUUAGAAACUUGAAGAUUAGAAAGAAUGGGUCAGAAUACUCGCACUUUCGAACAUUGAAAAGAAAGGUAUGAAUACUUGAAACAUAUACCAAAGGAAUGGAUCAGAAUAUUUGCAAUAUAUCCAAAAGAAGGGUUUAGGAUACUUGCCUUAAAUCUGACUCCCGUCUCACAGCUCAUUCUCAUCUUUCCACUUUCACAAUCUAUGCAUCUCAUAAUCUCUAGACCAUCUCUAGCUAUACUCUAUUCGCCACAUCGCUUCGCUUACUCGAUUCAUCCCUUAUUCGCUUUGCAAUACCAUUCUGACUUUCUGACGUCUUCGAACGUACACGUCUCCUCCAAAUCCUUUACGAAAAUAAGAUCAUACUAUAGUCACUAAACAAUAUNN